AUUGAACGCUGGCGGCAGGCCUAACACAUGCAAGUCGAGCGGAGCGGCGGACGGGCGAGUAAUGCCUAGGAAUCUGCCUGGUAGUGGGGGAUAACGUCCGGCAACGGGCUUUAAUACCGCACACUAUCAGUUGAACCUAGGUCGGAUUAGCUAGUUGGUGGGGUAAAGGCCUACCAAGGUGACGAUCCGUAACUGGUCUGAGAGGAUGAUCAGUCACACUGGAACUGAGACACGGUCCAGACUCCUACGGGAGGCAUCAGUGGGGAAUAUUGGACAAUGGGCGAAAGCCUGAUCCGGCCAUGCCGCGUGUGUGAAGAAGGUCUUCGGAUUGUAAAGCACUUUAAGUUGGGAGGCGUUACCAGCAGAAUAAGCACCGGCUAACUUCGUGCCAGCAGCCGCGGUAAUUC
rnacentral:rRNA from 1 species